rnacentral:rRNA from 1 species
GACGAACGCUGGCGGCGUGCUUAACACAUGCAAGUCGAACGGAAAGGCCCUGCUUUUGUGGGGUGCUCGAGUGGCGAAAGGGUGAGUAACACGUGAGUAACCUGCCCUUGACUUUGGGAUAACUUCAGGAAACUGGGGCUAAUACCGGAUAGGAGCUCCUGCUGCACGGUGGGGGUUGGAAAGUUUCGGCGGUUGGGGAUGGACUCGCGGCUUAUCAGCUUGUUGGUGGGGUAGUGGCUUACCAAGGCUUUGACGGGUAGCCGGCCUGAGAGGGUGACCGGCCACAUUGGGACUGAGAUACGGCCCAGACUCCUACGGGAGGCAGCAGUGGGGAAUAUUGCACAAUGGGCGGAAGCCUGAUGCAGCAACGCCGCGUGCGGGAUGACGGCCUUCGGGUUGUAAACCGCUUUCGCCUGUGACGAAGCGUGAGUGACGGUAAUGGGUAAAGAAGCACCGGCUAACUACGUG